AUUGAACGCUGGCGGCAUGCCUUACACAUGCAAGUCGAACGGCAGCACGGGUGCUUGCACCUGGUGGCGAGUGGCGAACGGGUGAGUAAUACAUCGGAACAUGUCCUGUAGUGGGGGAUAGCCCGGCGAAAGCCGGAUUAAUACCGCAUACGAUCCACGGAUGAAAGCGGGGGACCUUCGGGCCUCGCGCUAUAGGGUUGGCCGAUGGCUGAUUAGCUAGUUGGUGGGGUAAAGGCCUACCAAGGCGACGAUCAGUAGCUGGUCUGAGAGGACGACCAGCCACACUGGGACUGAGACACGGCCCAGACUCCUACGGGAGGCAGCAGUGGGGAAUUUGGGACAAUGGGCGAAAGCCUGAUCCAGCAAUGCCGCGUGUGUGAAGAAGGCCUUCGGGUUGUAAAGCACUUUUGUCCGGAAAGAAAUCCUUGGCUCUAAUACAGUCGGGGGAUGACGGUACCGGAAGAAUAAGCACCGGCUAACUACGU
rnacentral:rRNA from 1 species